GGCCCUGUUGCUUAGCCUGGUUAGAGCGCCGGUCUUAUAAGCCGGAGGUCGGGAGUUCAAAUCUCCUCAGGGCCA
rnacentral:tRNA from 1 species